AGUCAUGGUGAAGAAGUUCACAGAGAACUGUGUCAGGUGGGAGGGACCCCAUGGCAUAAUAGAGGAAACUCUCCUCUCUCUGAGC